AAAAUGACGGCCAGUUAUUUAAUGUUCAUACAGUUCUAGUAUAUGUGUAAUGGUUAAUCGCUGUUGUUAUUUAGUCAGGCGUCAGUCACACGCCUAUUGUUAGGACCCAGAAGUCAAAAAAGGACCCGGACGCUGACGCAGUUUCAGGGCAGAUAUGAUCGCUAUUAUUAUUACUAGCGUGAGACGAUUCUAACGGUGAUGAUAAUGCCAGUUCUCCCGCAAUAUUGAGUUAUCGCAUGUGUGCGUGCAUCAAAGAAACCACACUUAAUUAAAUAUUGUUUGAGUUUGCAA